rnacentral:rRNA from 1 species
UACGUAGGGUGCAAGCGUUAAUCGGAAUUACUGGGCGUAAAGCGUGCGCAGGCGGUGAUGUAAGACAGUUGUGAAAUCCCCGGGCUCAACCUGGGAACUGCAUCUGUGACUGCAUCGCUGGAGUACGGCAGAGGGGGAUGGAAUUCCGCGUGUAGCAGUGAAAUGCGUAGAUAUGCGGAGGAACACCGAUGGCGAAGGCAAUCCCCUGGGCCUGUACUGACGCUCAUGCACGAAAGCGUGGGGAGCAAACA